rnacentral:misc_RNA from 1 species
GAUGAAGAACGUAGCGAAAUGCGAUAAGUAGUGUGAAUUGCAGAAUUCAGUGAAUCAUCGAAUCUUUGAACGCACAUUGCGCCCCUUGGUAUUCCAUGGGGCAUGCCUGUUCGAGCGUCAUUUGUACCUUCAAGCUUUGCUUGGUGUUGGGUGUUUGUCUCGCCUUUGCGUGUAGACUCGCCUUAAAAUAAUUGGCAGCCGGCGUAUUGAUUUCGGAGCGCAGUACAUCUCGCGCUUUGCACUCAUAACGACAGCGUCCAAAAGUACAUUUUACACUCUUGACCUCGGAUCAGGUAGGGAUACCCGCUGAAAUUAAGCAUAUCAAUAAGCGGAGGA